GCCAUUUUGCUUCACGUGAAGUAACACAGGAAGUUAAUGACGUGUAACUCUGGAGGCUUGGCAGCUUUUCAUUGUUGCAGGUGGGGGGGCAACUUCACUCAGGUCACUCUCUGUGCUGCUGCUGCUCCUGGUUUGCGCACCACAAGCCGUCCAUUAUUACGGCACCGUGAUGACCUACUACCCAAAGGAAAUGACGACCAAUGGAUCUCUCUUGGUAAACGUUCGCUACAAGCUGAGCUUCGUUUCUUGUACAGCCAACGACACGUGGAGCUGCAGCGGCAACCGUGGAUGUGAGACGGCGGACRUGGAGCUGAAAAGCAACCUAUAAAAUGAAAGUACAAAUGCAAAAUGUACAMAUUGCUGUUGUUAAUUUCAUUAUGGCAGCUUCACAUCAAGUUAGCAAUUUUAAAUUGUUUUAUAGUUUCAUGGAAACUUUUUGUCAAUUUUACUGUUUAUCACUGUAUUUUCAGAAACUCAUGUCUACGUGUAAAAAUUAAUGAACAAAAGCAUUUUGUAUGUUUGUGCAGUAUUCAUGCAUCUGUUUGUGUGCAAAAGAUAUUUAAAGUUACUUAAUGUUUAAACUGUGACAUAAGCUGACAAACUGAUGAAUGGAUGAGAUAGUUUCUAAGGUCUAAUGACGGAUCCACCAGUUUGGUGAAGAAAAACUGRAUAAUCUGUCUAAUCCAAACAUAGCUGAAUCAUAACUAACCCUUUUGUUUCUUUUACAGAUUAAAAAUGAACUGACUGAUYAAGGAUUACCGCAAAACGUCAUCGGACAAACGGUGCACUGGAAAUGACAACAGCUGCCCCCUAGUGGCCAAAAAGCGGAAUGUUACUGAACUCUGCAGGAAAUGAGUUUCCAGAUGUUUUUAUUCAGCUUCACUGUUUCAUCUCCUGUCUGUAUAUUGUUGACUAUAUUUUAUUUGAUGUUUACACAUACAUUUAGCUUGUUUAUUUAUAAAUCA